ACUCCUACGGAAGGCAGCAGUAGGGAAUAUUGCUCAAUGGGCGAAAGCCUGAAGCAGCAGCCGCGUGCGGGAGGAAGGCCCUCGGGUCGUAAACCGCUUUCAGCAGGGACGAGGCCGCAAGGUGACGGUACCUGCAGAAGAAGCCCCGGCUAACUACGUGCCAGCAGCCGCGGUAAUG
rnacentral:rRNA from 1 species